rnacentral:rRNA from 1 species
GUGCCAGCCGCCGCGGUAAUACCGGCAGCACAAGUGAUGGCCGAUCUUAUUGGGCCUAAAGCGUCCGUAGCCGGCCGGACAAGUCCGUUGGGAAAUCCACGCGCUCAACGCGUGGGCGUCCAGCGGAAACUGUCCGGCUUGGGGCCGGAGGACUCGAGGGGUACGUCCGGGGUAGGAGUGAAAUCCCGUAAUCCUGGACGGACCACCGGUGGCGAAAGCGCCUCGAGAGGACGGACCCGACGGUGAGGAACGAAAGCCAGGGUCUCCAACCGGAUUAGAUACCCGGGUAGUCC